GCGAGUCUUCUGUCGUCCGUACAGAACUCCCGUCCUGUGUCAUGUGUGCCGUAGGCCCUGAGAGGGGUGGUUCGGCGGAACAGAUUUCGGCGGAGGUGUUGCGCACGGGCCGCGCGCCGGGUAACCGGUGUUUGCGGAGCGUUGGGCGACCGCCGUCGGCGAUUUAACUCUUGAGAAUGUAUGAAGUCUGAGCAGGAAAAACCAAAAUGAAGCA
rnacentral:misc_RNA from 1 species